rnacentral:rRNA from 1 species
UACGGAGGGUGCGAGCGUUAAUCGGAAUUACUGGGCGUAAAGCGCGCGUAGGCGGUCUGUUAAGUCAGCUGUGAAAGCCCCGGGCUCAACCUGGGAACUGCAGUUGAUACUGUCAGGCUGGAGUACGAGAGAGGGAGGUAGAAUUCCAUGUGUAGCGGUGAAAUGCGUAGAUAUAUGGAGGAAUACCAGUGGCGAAGGCGGCCUCCUGGCUCGAUACUGACGCUGAGGUGCGAAAGCGUGGGUAGCAAACAGG